CAGGUAAUGCAGAUGGAUGUGUCGGCGGCGCGCAACGUCUCUGCUGUCGUCUCUUCCAACGUACAGAAGGCAGCAGCGCGAGGUGGCUCAUCGCUGGAGGCGAUGCCGCUCAGGGCGAGCUACUCGCCACAGC
rnacentral:SRP_RNA from 1 species